rnacentral:rRNA from 1 species
UACGGGGGGGGCAAGCGUUGUUCGGAAUUACUGGGCGUAAAGGGCUCGUAGGCGGCCAACUAAGUCAGACGUGAAAUCCCUCGGCUUAACCGGGGAACUGCGUCUGAUACUGGAUGGCUUGAAUCCGGGAGAGGGAUGCGGAAUUCCAGGUGUAGCGGUGAAAUGCGUAGAUAUCAGGAGGAACACCGGUGGCGAAGGCGGGACUCUGGGCCGAUACUGACGCUGAGGAGCGAAAGCGUGGGGAGCAAACAGG